AUCUGUGAUUUGCCACUGCCCAUUAGCGAGGUGAGCUGCUUUGGGUACUUGGAUCUGCUACCAGGAAGGCUGGCGCUUUUGCAUAAGCAGGGUAGUGUCUCAGAGAGCUGUGAAUAUGCUUCAAGUUCUAGCUUUGCCACAGUUACUGGACUCAUUUCUCCACCUGUUACUUAGUGCUAGCAUAUAAUACUGAGCUAUUCUGUUGGGCACUCUGUGUGUGUGUGUGUGUGUGUGUGUGUGUGUGUGUGUGUUGCGAUUACAUGAUUGCCCUUUGAAACAAUAGGUUGCUAGGCAUUGUGGCACAUGCUUGUAUUGCUAGCAUUUGGGAAACUGAACAGGAGGAUCAUCAGUUUGAAAUCAGUCAGGAGCAUAGUGAGCUGGUCUACACAAGACAGAUACAUACACAAACACACACACAGACACAUACACACACAGGGAAAAAGCUGGUCUAUACAAGGAACACGGGUGCACGUGUGCACACACAUACACACACACAGGGAAAAAGGGAAAGAAGAAGAAGCACAACUGAGAGAACAGAGGAGGGAAGGAGCAGGCGACAUUAAGAACUGAGAGGUGGCUCAGCGGUUAAGAGCACUGACUGCUCUUCCAGAGGUCCUGAACAAUCCCAGCACCCACAUGGUGGUUCACAACCAUCUGUAAUGAGAUCUGACGCCCUCUUCUGGAGUGUCUGAAGACAGCUACAGUGUACUUACAUAUAAUAAAUAAAUAAAUCUUUAAAAAGAAAAAGAAGAAAAGGAAAAAGAAAAAGAAAAAAGAACUGCCUUCCAAAUCAUGAGAGCCUAGAACCAUUGACUUCACAGCUCCAGCCAAGGAGAAUAAGGGUGACAAGAGUCAGGACUGUGAGCUUGGAGGCGUCCUGUGAGCCAACAAGUUAGGGUGCAGAUAAAUGCCCUGCUAGGCAACCAAUGCUCCCCUUCUCUGCUCUGGGACCCCACUCCAGAGAGCCUCACCCCACACCUCCCAGAAGUGCCUCCUCCCAGAAGGAGGUCCCCUGUGUGCUCCAUCCUCCCCAGCUCUGUUCUGUCAUUGCCUAUGCCUUUCCAUGGCGGACACUAAGGUUUGGAAAGAGCAGUAUGCCUGCCUCAGAAACAUGAGGUGUGCCCCGAGUGUGUGUGCUUGCAGGUCAGAAGGCAACACCCAGGAAUUGUCUUUCUCUCCACCAUGUGGGUUCUGGAGAUCAAACUCGAGUUAUCAGGCUUGAGGCAAACACCUUUACCUGCUGAGACAUCUUGCUGGCCCAUUAUUUAUAAAGAUUCACUAUUUUCCAAAGUAAUAUAGACUCUGGUAAGAUAUGAAUGCAUAUAUAUAUUCACAUUGCAUGUAGGGAAUCAGAUUGUGUCAGUGAGGGUAAGUGACCCCAUUCCCUGGGGAACUACACUUUACAUUCGGUACCAUCUCAGGCCCUUUCAUCUAAGUACAGAUGUACAGUUUUGCUCUAAUGAAUACAUUCAUUCUUUACAGUGUAUAACAAGGCAGCUUUUUUAACAUCUGGUCCUCAGAAUCCUUGUCUGUGUAAUGAACAUAAAAGGUCUAUUCUAGUUUGCUUUCUGCCUAGGGAUGAUACCCCCCACAGCGGGCUGAGCCCUCUUACGUGAUAAAAACUCCCCACGGGUAUUCGGUUAUCAGCUUGAGAUGCAGCAGCAGCUUCCCUGUACCACAGCUUCUGUGUGCGGACCCUGAGGACUUUGUCUCAAUGAUGCUGGUCUCUUCUUCAUCACACCUGAUUUCUCAGCCCUGAUUAGCAAGCACCAAUUGUCCCAGUAAAGCAAAGCGUCCACAGAUUAUUAAAAAAAAACUUUAAAAAAUUAUUAAUUUUAUAUAUGUGAGUACACUGUCACUCUCUUCAGACACACCAGAAGAGGGCAUUGUAUCUCAUUACAGGUGGUUGUGGGUCACCAUGUGGUUACUGGGAAUUGAACUCAGGACCUCUGGAAGAGCAGCCAGUGCUCUUAACCAAUGAGCCAUCUCGCCAACACUUCCACAGAUUCUUUUUUUGUUUUGUUUUGUUUUGUUUUUGGUUUUCGAGACAGGGUUUCUCUGUGCAGCCCUGGCUGUCCUGGAACUCACUUUGUAGAUCAGGCUGGCCUGGAACUCAGAAGUCCGCCUGCCUCUGCCUCCCAAGUGCUGGGAUUAAAGGCGUGCACUCACUCUUCCACAGAUUCUUAAUCUAAAAUAUCAUACAAUUAGCCCUGAGGGGAUGUCAUCGGCCAGGUCUCCACUGUCUACAUUUCUCUUAGCAUUAUCUUAUCUUCCAGCUUCCCACAGAUCAUCAACUCUGAGCACUUCGUGGUUCUUCCCACUCAAAGUUCCAAAUACACACUUCUC
rnacentral:lncRNA from 1 species